rnacentral:rRNA from 1 species
CCUACGGGUGGCAGCAGUGGGGAAUAUUGGACAAUGGGCGAAAGCCUGAUCCAGCCAUGCCGCGUGUGUGAAGAAGGCCUUCGGGUUGUAAAGCACUUUCAGUGGGGAAGAAAGCCUUGGGGCUAAUACCCUCGAGGAAGGACAUCACCCACAGAAGAAGCACCGGCUAACUCCGUGCCAGCAGCCGCGGUAAUACGGGAGGGUGCGAGCGUUAAUCGGAAUUACUGGGCGUAAAGCGCGCGUAGGCGGUCUGAUAAGCCGGUUGUGAAAGCCCCGGGCUCAACCUGGGAACGGCAUCCGGAACUGACAGGUUAGGGUGAAGGAGAGGAAGGUAGAUUCCCGGGUUAGGGGGUGAAAGCGGUAGGGACCGGGAGGAAAACCAGGGGGGGAGGCGGCCUUCUGGACGGAAACGGACGCUGAGGUGCGAAAGCGUGGGUAGCAACCAGGAUUAGAUACCCGGUAGUC